CCGAUCCCCGAUCCGAUCGGUAGCAGGAUGACGGCGGCAGAGUUCCUGGAGGCCGGGAACGGUGGGGAAGUGGCGGAGGUCGGGAUCCAUCCCGACGGUUCGUAGUGGAGGCCGGCGGCGGCGGUGCUCCAUGGCUGUGGCGACUAGGUCUUCUGGGAAGAAGAUACAAGGGAGGGAGACGAGGUGAGAUGGAGAGAAUAGAAGGGAGAAUAGGGACUGCGUGGGUACCUGCUGCUGGUUCGACGGCGGCUCCGAUCAUCGGAUCAGGCCAACUCUUGAUGGAUUUCCAAUGUGUUGCUGGGCUCCCAAUUUUUUCCGUCGUGCAGUUGCUCCCCGUCUCCCUGUGUCGUCCCAAGAUGGUCCGGUUGGGCGCUGUCCUGACGGCUGAGCGUGUGCUAUCCACGGAACACAGCUCCUCCACCUAGGCCCUCCUCCGUAACGCCGGCGAGGACACUACUUCGUCUGAACCGAUUAUCACAACCACGCACAGGAGCUCUAUGGCACAUGUAGCAGGUCUUGGGCAUGAUGGCCGGACGCGAUGAGGAGGACAUACUGGAUCCCCAUGGACGCCAAGGAUUCGAGGACAUUGGCAGAUGCAGAGGAGGCAAUGAGGACGGAGAUGAUUGCGGCACACAAUUUAAAUAAACUAGAAUAUCCUGAAAAUUAUAUUUGGUGUAUAGAAUUCAGUUUUAGUCUUUGAGUACAUUUUCAUGAUUCGCUUAUUCCAGUAGUGAGUAAAAAUAUGUAAAACUACGUGACUUGUAAAUUUUUGAGUCUGUUGUGCGUCCCAACGAUUCCACCAGCAUCGGCCCUCCCCUACCGUGGUGCGGACUGCAGUAUUAGCGGUCUCAUUGGAGUCCUGAAGCAGCUCAAGGGCAUCGUCCUUGGUGCGCCUCCUCAAGGCUUGAUGCUUUCUACAGGAAAAAUGAUUCUUUUCUUUGAGAUGAGGAAAAUUACUUCCCUUUCUACAGGAAAAGAUGGUUCUGUUAGAUAAAUGUCUUCCCAAGUUAAAGGCACAUGGCUCCAAAGUACUAAUAUUCUCUGAGGGGCACCAUAACAUAUGAAAAUUUUGAAGAGCUUUGUGAAGAUUUGUGGGAGCAGCUCCGACUCCAAUUAAAGAAGUUCCACGCAGCGGGCAUGAAGAUUGGUCACAUCUAUAUGUUUAGUUGUGCUGCAGGUGAUUAUACUCUUCAUUGAAGACUUAUAGUUUGAGGGGAUGUAAUAGUAAUGCAGGAAUGUUGCAUUGUUCCUUUCUACCAUCGACCAUCAUUACUUACUUUUUAAUGUUCUUCUUGCUAUUGGCUGGUAGCUUUUAGUAGCAAUUUGGAUAAUUUUGUGCAUAAUAUUCUGUCUGGUUUUGGGGCAAGAAAGGUCGGGGAUUCUGUUGUGGGUGGAUCAUGGCCUCCAGAACAAUGCACACUAUACAGUAGCCUGAGCAAGUUAUGGGCGGUGCCUUCAAAUGGUUGUUAAAUUGUUGCUCUUUUUCUAUAUGGAUUAAUGUGAAGCACCUAAAAUUUCUCUUUUGAGGAAUAUAUGUCUCUUUUUGUUCGAUUUGAGUUCUUGCUCUCCCAGUUCAGAACAUUUAGGACGUGAUUUUGGAGAAACUUCGAGAGUAGGAAUAAGUCGUCGUCGUCGUAUUCAAGUUUGUAAUUAAAAUGAUUUAGAGUAGGAACCAGAGCUGGGAUUGUUACUUUUUAUGUAAUAAAAUGGGUUCUAUAAGAAUUGUUUUUUUUUCACAAAGGUGGGGAUUCAACUCUGUAGCUAGAAAAUUGCUAGAGCGUACUUGAAUUGUUGAAAGCGUGGAUCAUGUCCUAUAGUAGCUAUAUUUGAUUUACAACCAGAGUUCACUUGUAAUUAUAGGAUGAAACUUUAUAUUAUUUUGCCAUCUUAUUUCAUUUGUAAAAGUAGCUGCAACAAGUAGCAGUUUGAAUUGAUGCAAGCAAGUAAGCAACGCUUUGAUUGGAAAAUUUGUGUGUUGGCAUAGGCUGAAGCAAGCACCUCUUCGUUUUGAAUAAGUAGUUGGUGCAGCUCGCUAUAGCAAGCCCCAGAUUAACUUAAUGCUAGCAAUUACUUGAGUCCUUGAUCUGCUCUUGGCAAUUGGGUAAACAAGCGCUUCUUUGAUCUGUAUGCCUGAAUCUUUAGUUUGUGCAGCUAGCUGCUAGCAAGUAAUUAAAGCCUUGAUCUGCUCUUGCCGACAAAAUAAUCUUGGAAGAAACAUCCAGAUCACUCCACUAUGGGCCCAUCCAGUAGCUUAUGCAUCCUAUUGUUAGCUUUUCAAGAUUAUCUAUCACUCCACUAUUUACUAUAUUGUUAUAACCGCUCCAUGUUCCAUUGAACUCCAUGCUGAUUGCAUCUUUGCAAAGUCUGGAAUAUUGUAUAAACAAGGUAAUUGUUGGAGUUUUAACUUCAAUUUUUGUUGUUGUUACACAAAAUGUUGCCUCCAUCGACCUUUUGCCGAAAGACCAUUAGCCAUCGCCUAGACCUACUUUGCUGCAGGUUCUUUUUUUCUUUGUGCAAAUUAUGAUUGAGCUAUGUUUGUUUUACAGUGAUUUACAGCCAGGGUUUACAGAUUGAUUUGAGAAAGUAUUUAACGCAAUUGGUCUCUUGGCAUAGGCUCAAGUAUAAAACCGAUAUGUAAUAUCUCCAUAUGUUUGUGCAAAUUGAUUUUGUAAGCUACUCUGAAAACUUUAUUAUUUUUUCACUAUUGAUGUACUUGGUGCUAACUUCCAUUUUCUCUCAACAGGACAUGUGCUAUUCUGAAAAUGGAGCUUCUCUAUUGGAUGGCAGCUCAUGAUGGUAGUUUCAGAUAUGAAGCUAAGGAAAGCGUGCCUCAUAAUUCAUUAGAUAUAUCCCAGUAGGGCCAAUUAGAUAUUGUUGGUUGUAAAUGACAUGAGUUUUUAGCUUUCAUAAAAUCUAGAUUUGUACUCUUUAACAAUAAGCUGUGGAGGAGAGUGGUCUUAAAUGUGCUGGUUGAAUUUACCAAUGUUGGUUAUUUUGGUUUUAC